rnacentral:rRNA from 1 species
CACGUAGGGGGCAAGCGUUGUCCGGAUUUAUUGGGCGUAAAGAGCUCGUAGGUGGCUUAGUAAGUCGGGUGUGAAACCUCCAGGCUCAACCUGGAGACGCCACCCGAUACUGCUAUAGCUUGAGUCCGGUAGGGGAGCGUGGAAUUCCUGGUGUAGCGGUGAAAUGCGUAGAUAUCGGGAGGAAUACCGGUGGCGAAAGCGACUCUCUGGACGGCAACUGACGCUGAGGCACGAAAGCGUGGGGAGCAAACAGG